CCUCUGAUGGCGGUCAAGUACGUGUCGGAGCGCAUGGAAAAAGUAUCUUGGCCCCGAACUCUGACCACAAAGGGAAUAACGUCUGUCAAGUUAUUUGUGUCUGAAAAUCCCGAUUGGUUUUUUUGAACUACUAGAAGGAU